GGAUCCAGACUUUGAUCCUGGCUCAGGAUGAACGCUGGCGGCGUGCUUAACACAUGCAAGUCGAACGGGAAACCUUUUAUUGAAGCUUCGGCAGAUUUAGCUGGUUUCUAGUGGCGGACGGGUGAGUAACGCGUGGGUAACCUGCCCUAUACAGGGGGAUAACAACCAGAAAUGGUUGCUAAUACCGCAUAAGCGCACAGGACCGCAUGGUCCGGUGUGAAAAACUCCGGUGGUAUAGGAUGGACCCGCGUUGGAUUAGCCAGUUGGCAGGGUAACGGCCUACCAAAGCGACGAUCCAUAGCCGGCCUGAGAGGGUGAACGGCCACAUUGGGACUGAGACACGGCCCAGACUCCUACGGGAGGCAGCAGUGGGGAAUAUUGCACAAUGGGGGAAACCCUGAUGCAGCGACGCCGCGUGAAGGAAGAAGUAUCUCGGUAUGUAAACUUCUAUCAGCAGGGAAGAUAGUGACGGUACCUGACUAAGAAGCCCCGGCUAACUACGUGCCAGCAGCCGCGGUAAUACGUAGGGGGCAAGCGUUAUCCGGAUUUACUGGGUGUAAAGGGAGCGUAGACGGAUUAGCAAGUCUGAUGUGAAAGGCAGGGGCUCAACCCCUGGACUGCAUUGGAAACUGCCAGUCUUGAGUGCCGGAGAGGUAAGCGGAAUUCCUAGUGUAGCGGUGAAAUGCGUAGAUAUUAGGAGGAACACCAGUGGCGAAGGCGGCUUACUGGACGG
rnacentral:rRNA from 1 species